rnacentral:rRNA from 1 species
UACAGGGGGGGCAAGCGUUGUUCGGAAUUACUGGGCGUAAAGGGCUCGUAGGUGGCCAACUAAGUCAGACGUGAAAUCCCUCAGCUUAACUGGGGAACUGCGUCUGAUACUGGAUGGCUUGGAUUCGGGAGAGGAAUGCGGAAUUCCAGGUGUAGCGGUGAAAUGCGUAGAUAUCUGGAGGAACACCGGUGGCGAAGGCGGCAUUCUGGACCGAUAUUGACGCUGAGGAGCGAAAGCCAGGGGAGCAAACGGGG